rnacentral:rRNA from 1 species
UAGGGAAUAUUGGGCAAUGGGCGAGAGCCUGACCCAGCCAUGCCGCGUGCAGGAUGAAGGCUUUCUGAGUCGUAAACUGCUUUUGCCAGGGAAGAAAAAGAGGGAUGCGUCCUUCACUGACGGUACCUGGUGAAUAAGCACCGGCUAACUCCGUGCCAGCAGCCGCGGUAAUACGGAGGGUGCAAGCGUUGUCCGGAUUUAUUGGGUUUAAAGGGUGCGUAGGCGGCCGUUUAAGUCUGGGGUGAAAGCCCACUGCUCAACAGUGGAACUGCCCUGGAAACUGGACGGCUUGAGUACAGACGAGGGUGGCGGAAUGGAUGGUGUAGCGGUGAAAUGCAUAGAUACCAUCCAGAACCCCGAUUGCGAAGGCAGCUGCCUAGACUGUAACUGACGCUGAGGCACGAAAGCGUGGGGAGCGAACA